UCAUAAUUUAUCGUGUAUUACAAUCACAGGCAUGACCAAAGGGAACAUCUCUGUCCAAGUCUCCUGGCACACAGGUGCAAAUGCUUCUCCAGAAGAGGAAUUAUGAGCUGUCGCCUAUUCCCAUCUUCUACGUUAUUGGCUAUUUCUUUUCAGCGUAGUUGUACCAGUUUAUGCUCCUACCACCACUGAUCAGCUCUAGGAGAUGGAAGAAAUGUUCCUCCACCUGUCAACAGCUAGAAACACCUUUGACUGUCAGUGGAAAGAGCAUCAGAAUAAUCCACUUUAAAAACACAAAAAGGCAAAGGAUCCAUCUGGACAGGACGGCGGGUGGAAUCUCCUUGAGCGAUUCUCUCGCCACACAGGUAUAAUGGGGCUGUGGUUAUGGAAGAAAACAUCUUUACUCUUAAG